CAUUGUUUUCUCAUGAGAAAUAUUUAAAGUACUAAUUAGCGUGCUACGCUAUUUAUUUUCAAAGGAUAUUUUGCUCGAGGGCAAAGUGAGGCCAACACGAGAGUUGUUAUUUGGAGAUAAGCGUAUCAGGACCGCAAAUCCUGUUCGGAAUAAUGUGCACGAGAGCCGUGAGCCAUCAGCUGUUGGCCGGCGAUGUGUCCGCUGAAGGUGGCCACCUUCACGGUACACGAUUCUCAGAUUUGGCGAGUGAUUUGGAGAACUUAGAUUGAUCAAUCGAACUUUUAGCUCACAAAAGAAUUUAGUAUGCUCGGGCCUUUUAAGAAAAACCCCCGUGUGAUACUGUGGAUGGAUGACAACUAUAUACUGUAUGUUUUGUUUUCGGCAUGUGUCCACUGAGUACUCCUGUACUCAGCCCUGCAUGUAUUUAUAAACGUGCAGAUUUAAGCAAAAGGGCGGAGGCGUGCUGAUCAGAGUCGAUGCUACUUAAGAAAAUAAGUGUGGAUCUCUCGACGCUUCGUGUCUUCAUACGCGAAGUCGUUCUCUGGACUUUUUCCGCUGCAGUUUGUUAAGAGAGAAUAGUAAACUCUCAACAUCGUAACUCUGAUUCAUUUUGAUGAAAUGCUAUUGUCAUUUAAAUCCUUGUAUUUGAAUACUUGGAUCCUAUCUUAUGAUAUUGUUUGACUUUUCAA